rnacentral:rRNA from 1 species
UACGGGGGGGGGCAAGCGUUGUUCGGAAUUACUGGGCGUAAAGGGCUCGUAGGCGGCCAACUAAGUCGGAUGUGAAAUCCCCAGGCUCAACCUGGGAACUGCAUCCGAUACUGGAUGGCUUGAAUCCGGGAGAGGGAUGCAGAAUUCCAGGUGUAGCGGUGAAAUGCGUAGAUAUCUGGAGGAAUACCGGUGGCGAAGGCGGCAUCCUGGACCGGCAUUGACGCUGAUGAGCGAAGCUAGGGAGCAAACGG